AGGGCACCACCAGGAGUGGAGCCUGCGGCUUAAUUUGACUCAACACGGGAAAACUCACCCGGCCCGGACACUGGAAGGAUUGACAGAUUGAGAGCUCUUUCUUGAUUCAGUGGGUGGUGGUGCAUGGCCGUUCUUAGUUGGUGGAGUGAUUUGUCUGGUUAAUUCCGAUAACGAACGAGACUCUAGCCUACUAAAUAGAUCGUCGGCUUACAAACGCCGGCGAGACUUCUUAGAGGGACAGGCGGUGAUUCAACCGCACGAAACAGAGCAAUAACAGGUCUGUGAUGCCCUUAGAUGUCCGGGGCCGCACGCGCGCUACACUGAAGUGAUCAGCGUGCUUUUUCAACCUACUCUGUCAAGAGUGGGGAACCCAAUGAACCUUCUUCGUGAUUGGGAUAGGGGAUUGUAAUUAUUCCCCUUGAACGAGGAAUUCCCAGUAAGCGCGAGUCAUAAGCUCGCGUUGAUUACGUCCCUGCCCUUUGUACACACCGCCCGCCGCUACUACCGAUUGAAUGUUUU
rnacentral:rRNA from 1 species